rnacentral:tRNA from 1 species
GCCCUGUAGUGUUUAGCACAUUAGAUUGCAAAUCUGAAGGUGCGGACUAAUUGUCUGCCGGGGCUU